GUGCCACAACGAGCUUAUUCUGGCUAUAAAAAAACAAUAUAACAUGAAAAUUUUCUUGUUAGUACCUCUAAAGCAAAGUGAUUUUCUCAAGUGAGGCAUGUAAAAAGUCUUAUUCACGCGGGGGAAACAAUAACAGUCAUUAUAUAACAGCUUCCCUACUUGACGAUUACUUAUCUUGGCUUGAACCCAGUUUCUCUCAGAGUCUCACUUGUUUAGGUGAGUUAGGUGGCAUUUGCACUACAAGGCCUCAAGGGGUUAAAAAUCCAUAG
rnacentral:misc_RNA from 1 species